GAUGAAGAACGUAGCGAAAUGCGAUAAGUAGUGUGAAUUGCAGAAUUCAGUGAAUCAUCGAAUCUUUGAACGCACAUUGCGCCCUUUGGUAUUCCGAAGGGCAUGCCUGUUCGAGCGUCAUUAUCACCCCUCAAGCCCUCGGCUUGGUGUUGGACGGUUUGGUGGAGGCCCCCUCGGGGGCUCCUGCCCCUCCCAAAGACAAUGACGGCGGCCUCGUUGGACCCCCGGUACACUGAGUUCUUCACGGGACACGUAUCGGACACAUGGGUUUACGGGACACGGUCUGCCUCCCCUCAGGGAGAAUCUUUCUAAGGUUGACCUCGGAUCAGGUAGGGAUACCCGCUGAACUUAAGCAUAUCAAUAAGCAGGA
rnacentral:misc_RNA from 1 species